AGAUUGAACGCUGGCGGCAGGCCUAACACAUGCAAGUCGAGCGGCAGCACGGGUACUUGUACCUGGUGGCGAGCGGCGGACGGGUGAGUAAUGCCUAGGAAUCUGCCUGGUAGUGGGGGAUAACGCUCGGAAACGGACGCUAAUACCGCAUACGUCCUACGGGAGAAAGCAGGGGACCUUCGGGCCUUGCGCUAUCAGAUGAGCCUAGGUCGGAUUAGCUAGUUGGUGGGGUAAUGGCUCACCAAGGCGACGAUCCGUAACUGGUCUGAGAGGAUGAUCAGUCACACUGGAACUGAGACACGGUCCAGACUCCUACGGGAGCAGCAGUGGGGAAUAUUGGACAAUGGGACGAAAGCCUGAUCCAGCCAUGACCGCGUGUGUGGAAAG
rnacentral:rRNA from 1 species